AAUAGGCUCAAGCAACUGUUUAGCAAAACACAGGUCUAUGCAAAACCGCAAGGUGAAGUAUAUGGGCUGACGCCUGCCCGGUGCUGGAAGGUUAAGAGGAGGUGUUAGCGCAAGCGAAGCACUGAAUUUAAGCCCCAGUAAACGGCGGCCGUAACAAUAACGGUCCUAAGGUAGCGAAAUUCCUUGUCGGGUAAGUUCCGACCCGCACGAAAGGCGUAAUGAUUUGAGCGCUGUCUCGACAAUGCAUCCGGUGAAAUUGAAGUACCAGUGAAGAUGCUGGUUACCUGCGCCAGGACGGGUCGACGCGGCCG
rnacentral:rRNA from 1 species